CAGAGAAUAGUUUAAUAAAAAUUUUAAUUUUGGAGAUUAAAGAUAAAAUAUUUAUAUUUUUUUUCUGA
rnacentral:tRNA from 1 species